CGGUAAGUAGCUUAACGGUAAAGCUCCAUGCUGAUAACGUGGAGAGUGGGAGUUCGAUUCUCUCCUUACCGA
rnacentral:tRNA from 1 species